CUGCAUUUGCUAUUCUUGGCAUUGUAAUUUGCCUUGUUCGUGAAGCAAUUCUUCUCGAAGGAAGGUCUUUGAUGAAAUGAUCACAGCACUUGGCAAUAGUUGAGUCAGGAUAAAUGUGGCUUUAUGUGCAAAAACACUAAUUUGACUUGCAUUUAGGUUGUGAGGUUUGUUGGGAAUUUCCUGGACUCUUCGUGACUCCUAGGCAAGGGUUCUUUUGAGAAGCUAGGGGGUAAGGGAGUGAGGGGUAAAGUAUUGAGUAUCUUAUGUGUGCCAGGCACUGUGCUUUUGAAGAUGUUAUUUUGUAGAACACUUAAAGAAGUUCUUUAAAAAGGCUUAUUAUCUUGAUUUUACAGGCAAGGAAACUGAAGCUGAAGAGAUAAAGAUCAUUUAACUAAGAUCCACAGUGACUAUCAUUUCUCCACCUGAUGUCGAGCAACAUUGUCCAGGAUUGGAAAAUGCUUGGGUUGGAUCAAUUUAUAGUUUAUCAGAUUUGCAAAAUCUCCUAAAGAUGGCCUUGCUCUCUCCUCCAAGGCUGAUGACUGGAAUGGGAACUGAAGAUGAAUAAAUUAGAAGCCUGAAAAGACCAAUCCUCUUUUUAAUUAAAAAGAAGAGUCCUUUAUUGCAUGAGCACCGGCAUUGGUCAAAGCACGAAGAGCAUCAGGAUGCCUGGCUUUGAAUCCCGAGUCAACAAAGGGAGGUCGUGAAGGUGAAUCCAAGGGGGAAACGGGACAGCAGCACCAUUGGAAGAGAUGCUCAGUGUCUGGGGGGAGUGGCUCUGGCCUCACAAGUUAGGAUCUGGCGGGUUUGAGUCUCUACUUACCAGCAAGGAUGAUCCUGAAACGAAAGAGCCAACAGAAACAGGAUUCCUGCAUUUGUGUUUAGUGGAACUCUUUGAGGAAUGAACACACGCGUGUGGGCACAGGCCAGGUUAUGUUGCAGGCAUAAAUAAGCCACGGCAAAGUUUAUUUCUUGCUUCCCCAGUGUCUGUGGAGGUCAAGGCUGCUCUCCAGAACAGCUGCCCUUGAAGGGCACAGUGGCACAGCCUGGCCUCAUCCUGUGGCUCCAUCAUCUUAACCUUCAACAGCAGCCUCUACUGUCCCCAUGCCAGUAGAGAGAAAGCCUGAGGCCUGGCCUCCUGGAAAUCAUGUGGGUUGGGGCCACAGCCCCACCAACGCCGUAGGGCUGGCCAUGGAGUGUGUAGGAGCCCAGAAGAAGAGGACAAGGGAAUGUUGGUGAGUACUGAUGACUUCCACCACUCGUGAGAGACAGGCAUAAGGAGUCACUUAUAUCUUUCAGUUAAAUGAGUACUUACUGAGCCAAUACUUAAUGUUUAGCACUUUUUUAGCCUAGGUAGUUGGUGAGAGUGGAGAGGGGAUGGUACGUAAAACAGAGUCCUCAUCCUGUAAGUGUUGAGAGCUUUCUGCAAAAGCAAGAGACUUGAAAUAAUUUAACAGCAAUGAAAGGCCUCCUGUGACAACUUUCCUAAUUUUACUUUUCAGACAAUUUUUUGGGAGAGGAGUUAGGAGAAGAGAUGGGCAGUCCAGGCAGAAUAGUCUGAGCAAAUGUGGAAGGGAGGAUGGGGGUCCUCACUGAGGAGGA